rnacentral:lncRNA from 1 species
AUCCUCUGGCUGCUGCUGCAGCAGAGCCCUCUGCAGACCUUUGGCCAUGCUCUCAUUACGCUUGAUUGCCAUUGACAGCUUGAUGUAAGUCAGGUGAACAAAUAGAAGCUGAGGGUGAAGGACCUACAGCUGUCACCUUCAUCUCUUCUCAACACUGCCAACUGUCCCCUUGGAUUUCCCAGACAGACAACAAGGGACAUCUCUGGUUUCUCGGUGCCCCCUAGAAACCUCGGGUCAUUUCAAGGCAUUAUGCAAAUGAGAAGCUUUCCUUCUCUUCACCUCAUCUCCUGAUCUGCACAAAAGUGACUGUAGGACCCAGUGUUGUAGAUGAGCAUGAGAGUGUGGAGCAGAGUUGGCGAGUGCAAGUCGAGCCCAUCAACCUGGACAGCUGUCUCCGUGCUUUCACCAGUGAGGAAGAGCUAGGGGAAGAUGAGAUGUACUACUGUUCCAAGUGUAAGACCCACUGCUUAGCAACAAAGAAGCUGGAUCUCUGGAGGCUUCCACCCUUCCUGAUUAUUCACCUUAAGUGAUUUCAAUUUGUAAAUGAUCAGUGGAUAAAAUCACAGAAAAUUGUCAAAUUUCCUCGGGAAAGUUUUGAUCCGAGUGCUUUUUUGGUACCACGAGACCCAGCUCUCUGCCAGCAUCAACCACUCACACCCCAGGGGGAUGAGCUCUCCAAGCCCAGGAUUCUGGCAAGAGAGGUGAAGAAAGUGGAUGUGCAGAGUUUGGCUGGGGAAGAGGACAUGCUCCUGAGCAAAAGCCCAUCCUCACUCAGCGCUAACAUCAGCAGCAGCCCAAAAGGUUCUCCUUCUUCAUCAAGAAAAAGUGGAACCAGCUGUCCCUCCAGCAAAAACAGCAGCCCUAAUAGCAGCCCACGGACUUUGGGGAGGAGCAAAGGGAGGCUCCGGCUGCCCCAGAUUGGCAGCAAAAAUAAACUGUCAAGUAGUAAGAAGAACUUGGAUGCCAGCAAAGAGAAUGGGGCUGGGCAGAUCUGUGAGCUGGCUGACGCCUUGAGCCGAGGGCAUAUGCGGUGGGGGCAGCCAACCAGAGCUGGUCACUCCUCAGGACCACGAGGUAGCUUUGGCCAAUGGAUUCCUUUAUGAGCAUGAAGCAUGUGGCAAUGGCUACAGCAAUGGUCAGCUUGGAAACCACAGUGAAGAAGACAGCACUGAUGACCAAAGAGAAGACACUCAUAUUAAGCCUAUUUAUAAUCUAUAUGCAAUUUCAUGCCAUUCAGGAAUUCUGAGUGGGGGCCGUUACGUCACUUAUGCGAAAAACCCAAACUGCAAGUGGUACUGCUACAAUGGCAGCAUCUGUGAGGAACGUCACCCUGAUGAAAUUGACACCGACUCUGCCUACAUUCUUUUCUAUGAGCAGCAGAGGAUAGACUACGCACAAUUUCUGCCAAAGAUUGAUGGCAAAAAGAUGGCAGACACAAGCAGUAUGGAUGAAGACUUUGAGUCUGAUUACAAAAAGUACUGUGUGUUACAGUAAAGCUACCACUCUGGCUGCUAGACAGCUUGGUUGGGAGGAAGAUGACUCCUUGUAGCUGAUACUUGGCAAAAGUGUCACUGAGAGAGGGGAUGCUUCAUCUCUGAGGUUGGAAACUCUGUAGAGCAGGAUUCCCCAACUCCUGGGCUACAGACCAGCACCGUCCAUGGCCUGUUAGGAACCGGGCUGCACAGCAGCAGGAUUAUGCUAAAGUCACCAGGCAAGAGACCAAGAUGAGCCCACCUCACAAACCCAGAAACCUCAGAUCCAAGGCAGCUGUAUAAGGUACAGAUCGUUCCGGACUGUAGAAGAGAGGGUUAAUCCAACUUCAUCAGGAGAGAAAUGCCAUUAUCCACUGAACUAUUUCUUGACUAUCUCCUGUAUGCUGGUCAGUUUCACUCACAUUGUCUCAUUUAAUCUUUGACAAACUAAAUAAAAGUGUGAAGUAAA